rnacentral:lncRNA from 1 species
ACAAACGAACGAAUUCAGAAAUCGAGUAUAGGAGGACGAACAAACGAACUGCUUGGAGAGGGUAUAGGAACGAACGGCGGGAUCGAAUGUCUGCGAAUUGUACCGUUCGAAAAAAGGGUCGUUCCAAAAUCCCGCCCUAUAUAUAUAAUGCAUAAGACACUAACACAUGUAUGACGUAAAAUAAUAUACUGUACAUGUCUACAU